rnacentral:lncRNA from 1 species
CUCAGUGGAAAAGUUAUUCUCCAACACCAUCCAUCCAUGAUGAGCCUGUCCUGCACUGAACCCUCUGAACACCUCAACCCCUGUCCUGCACUGAACCCUCUGAACACCUCAACCCCUGUCCUGAACUGAAGUCAAGCCUCUGAACCCCUCAACUCAUUUCAUCACUGCUGCGGUCCCUUCCCAACAGUGUCCCCCGUCCACCACAAUGUCUGUAGUGGAGCUGUAGCCCCCCCCUUCCUAAUCCCCCACUACCAAGGCCUCCUCUCUUCUCCUCUCCCAUCCCCCUCUUUCCUCACCAGAACUCCUCAUCAUCCAACGAAGACCCCGAGGAAAUAGACUCCCUCCUUCUACAUCUAACACACAGCAUCAGUGUGUGGGUGUAUGUCUAUUGCUCUUUGUAGCAUGUGCAGUAUGUCAUUCAACUCUUACCCUCUGUGUCCAGUAAUUAGAAACCAGUGUUUUGAAGGAGAAGCAUGCUCCUUUCCAAUAAUGAUAACAGAGACGCGCUGAAGGAUUACAGACUUGGGCUGAAGAAGCACAGUCCUGGAUCACUAUGUGUCUCUCUGACUCCAGUUAUUAUUCAUGUGUGUAGCCUAAGUCUUGCCAGGGCUACCAGUGAC